rnacentral:rRNA from 1 species
UCMUACCGAUGAAUGGUCCGGYGAGGAUUCAGGAUGGAGGUUGAUUUUGGGCCUCGUAAGAGGUACCCAUGCUUCUCUCCAGAAUCUAUUCAAACCUUGCCAUUUAGAGGAAUGAGAAGUCGUAACAAGGUUUCCGUAGGUGAACCUGCGGAAGGAUCAUUA